CACAACAGAGGAAUAAGGAGGGAUUUCUGUGUCUACAGAAGGAGGCAUUUCACCACACAGUGACUUCAUUCAUACUGUUUGGGAAAAGUGCAUAUUUCACACACAAAGGCAGCUCUCACUAACUUGCAUUCAGAUUCUUCUGCUUCCCUGAAAUCCCCUCCAUUUCAACAUCCUGCGCUGCUGAAAUGACUCUUCCAUAAAGUGCUCUAGACUGAACACAUAAUCAGCUGUGAAACUGAAUCCACCUGCUGUGUAUUCACCUUUUCUUUCUUUCUGCCACAGAUAAGCCAUUAGUUUCUAUUCAUCAGGCUGGAGAAUGGAGGCGGACUGGAGUGCCGCCUUCAUCAGAGCUUCUCACUAACAUUUGGAGUUCUCAAAUCAACAUCAGGCAAAAAAGAAAAUCGGGAAAAAUAAGUUUAAAAAUAAAGAGGAAGAUCAACUUUAGUCCAUUGUGCUGGAUGUUCAGAGCGCCGGUGACCUUCAGAGGCAGCGCGGCGUCGCCGUCUAUCCGGAGUCAGUCGACGAGAAACGAGCAAGCUGCUGGAACUCUCUGGUUGCAGUUGGAGCUCAUCGGGCUGAUCUGUUUACCUCAGUGGGCGCAUGACUAAUUCAUGAACAUGUGGAAAACCGCGUCGCUCUGGAAGGCGCAGCGCAUUUCCACGUUUGAUCAGAAUCUUUUUAUGAAUUAGUGCUGCUUCAGGCAAGGCCAUUGUUUCAAACAUCCACUGCCACGACUCAAAGAAAAUCUGUUGGAGAAAACACGAGGUCCUUGAAGAUAAAAACAUCUAAACUCCACUUUCCACAUUUAGGGGCACCACAGCCUUAAAAUAAAUUCACUGCAGUAGCACAAAAUUACACUGAAACACAUAUCAACCUUUAAUUUAUUCACUUCACGAAAAUAUCUCAGUUCACGACUUUGAAGAAAAAACAUGACAUGAAGCCCAUUCUGCUGCUCUAUCCUUCAAAAUGGGAAAAACGAGAGACCAUGUAGGAAAGUUACUGGCCUAAAAUUAAAAUAUAUAUAAAAAAAUCUUCCUUUCAUCUCUUCUCACUAACCUGCACAAAAUAUGUCCACAGUGGUUUAAAACAUACAAAAACAUUUAAAUAUCAGAGCCUGGAAAUAAAGUCAGAAGCAGUUUAAACGAGAAAACUUUAUCGUUGUAACAAGAUUUUAAAAAGCUGAGAUUUGUGCCCCAAUGAAGCCAAAAUAUUUUAGAGUAUCAGUAAAACAGCAACACCUGUUAGGUGGAAACAGAGAGGAGAGCAGUGAACCUCUGUACAACUCUUUAACCUGUCAGAGGAACUUACUUUCACAUCUGAUUAAAAUUAGACUUUCUUGUUUUAAC